AAGGUUUUAUGUUAAAUAAACAAAUAGCCUUCAAAGCUGUAAAUAAAGUCAUCACUUUAAGCCUUA
rnacentral:tRNA from 1 species